AGUGAACGCUGGCGGCGUGCCUAAUACAUGCAAGUCGAACGGAGUGGCGCGCGGGUGCGUAAUAUAUAGCUAAACUGCCCUUUGCUGGAGGUCAACAGUUAGAAAUGAUUGCUAAUACUCCAUAGCAAGGGAUGGGACUAUAUCGUAUCAGCUAGUCGGUGGGGUAACGGCCUACCGAGAGUAUGACGCGUAACUCGUCUAAGCGGAUGAUCAGUAACAUGCGAACUGAGACACGGUCCAAACUCCUACGGGAGUCGGCAGUAGGGUAUAUUGCGCAAUGGGGGAAACCGGAACGCAGCAACGCCGCGUAGAGGAUGACACUUUGCGGAGCGUAAACUCCUUUUGUUAGGGAAGCGGUACCUAACGAAUAAGCACCGGCUAACUCCGUGCCAGCAGCCGCGGUAAUAC
rnacentral:rRNA from 1 species